UUUUUUUAUUCAGCCUUCUAACAGAGUGCAAUUUUUUUUCUUUCGAGUGGCAACAUAUGGCGUACAGCCUGUACAUAGUCAUCACUUGUGACAGUUGUGUCAUCGCGUCAGUAAAGGCCUGUCCAGACGGAAUGAUGAAAUCAUACGAUUUGUUCAGUAUGACUGUGGUCGUAUCAUUAAUACACGCUGUAUACGAAAGUUAUACAUAUAAUUGUGAAAUGUAUUUUGUUGCUAUAUCAAUCAUAAGAUCUCAUUCUGAUAUGACUUCAAUUCCAUGGAGGAGGAGGUUCUGUAUUUGGUUAUGGCUAUUUAUUUUUAUGUACCGUUGUGUUAUGUUCACCGAUUAGUCCGAGCUCCGAGGUCCGAUUUGAGUUAUUAUGUUUUUAUUUGAAUGGACUUGCAUUCAAGGUGGUCCCAUCAUGUUAUGGUGAUUUUGGUGUUUUCUUAAGCAACUCAAGGACUCAUGGAGUGGACCGUGAACCUGAUGAUGAAAUAUAAGUGGGUGUAUUAUGAUUUUGGAUGUAGAUAGUAGUGGAAAUGUCUAACGAGACUGAGAGGUGAGGGGUAGGCGUGGGAGGUGAAGGCUGGUGAUGUUUGAGGGGUCUGAAGUUGGAGGUUGCGAGGUUGGGGCUUGACGGGUCGGGAUUUGAGGGGCUGGAUGAUUGAGGGCACGGUGAGUUGAUGGGUACUGAGGCGUCGAGAGGUUGGGAUUUGAGGGGUCGGGAGUUGGGUGUUGAGUGGUCGAGGGGUAUUAUAUUAUAAUAAAUAUAAGUAGUUGAAAUAUUUUACAUAAAUUUGUUGUUUUUUCCUAGAUACGAAUAUUGUUAAUUUAUUAACAAAUUUAGAGAAAUUAUAAUAUCUGUUCACAUGUUAUUUAAAGUGUGUGUAUGUUAAUUCUAAUUAGGCUCACUUAUUGAAAUAAUAGGGUCUGUGUAAUUUUUUUUUUUUUAAUCUCUAAAGUUGCACGAGUAAUAACUUUAAAAGUUAAAAUCCAGAAAGAGCGACAAUGGAGAAAACGGUGCCCAAAGUUUGGGACGGCAAAAACACAUUUGUACCUAUUUUGAAGUUAUGGAGUGGUCGAUUACAAACAUAAACUAAUCUUCAGGGGGCGUCGAUUAAUUACGUGAGGGGUUUUUGAGGAUUUUAGACCCCCCAAAACUUUAACAGUUGGAAUGUCACCGUGGUGAAAACAUAUAAAUGGUUGGAAAAUAACUCCAUAUGAAUUUAUCGCCAUUUUUAGGGUUCCGUAGUCAACUAGGAAUCCUUAUAGUUUCGCCAUGUCCGUCUGUCUGUCUGUCUGUCCGAGGCUUUGCUCCGUGGUCGUUAGUGCUAGAAAGCUGAAAUUUGGCAUAAAGCCGACAAAGUCAUACAAUAAAAUCUAAAAGUUUAUUUUUUUUUGGGUACCUCCCCUACACGUAAAGUGGGGGUGAACAUUUUUUUUUGCUUCAACCUUACAGUGUGGGAUAUCGUUGGAAAGGUCUUUCAAAACUAAUAGGGGUCUUCAAGAAACAUUUCUUGAUAAAGUGAAUAUAUUCGGAGAUAAUUGCUCCGAAAGAAAAAAAAAAUGUGUCCCCCCUCUAACUUUUGAACCAUAGGUCCAAAAAAUAUGAAAAAAAAUCUUGGAAGUAGAGCUUAAGAAAGACAUUAAAUGUAAACUAUAGCGGAUAUGAUCAGUUUAUCUGUUUUUGAGUUAUCGCAAAAAGUUUCCCCUUCAUAGUAAAAAGACGUACACCCACAGUUCAUCCCUUGGUUAACAAUCUACCAUACUUUAAGCUCCAGUUUAGCUUAUUGUGACGGAAGAGUAACUACGGAACCCUACUCUGAGCAAGGCCCGACAUGCUCUUGGCCGCUUUUAUUUUAAAUAAAAAUACAUGAGACUCUAAUUUUUCCUUAAAGAUAUAUUUAUAAACGUAUUCUUAAGCCAAGAGAGUAGAAAUAAGGUAUAUAACUUAUUUUAAUUAGUCAUAUGCAUGUGUACAACGCGCCCCAAUGCAUUUGCGGAGUUAUGGUGGAAAAGAACGGCCAUGGGCUUAGCUGCCAAAGAUGCGCUGGUCGCUUUCUCAGGCUCCACUCCAUAAACGGGAUUGUUCGUCGGUACGGUAAAUCCUUUCUCGAAAAGGAGCUUUCUCAAUCAGACGACAAACGAUCCUACGGGCUAACACUGGUAGGAGAGAAUGGGGGAAAUGAGAAUGGCAUAAUCUUAAACAAUGACUAAGGAAAUGAGAACGUUCCCAACCAAAAAAACCUAGAAUUUGUGUGAUGUAAUUAAUGGAUGACCCCUUAAUAAUGAUUCCUGCUACUCGUACAUACUGAUUGAACGUGUAAUAUUUUUAAUCUUUGCAAAAUGAUAAUAAUAAUAAUAAAAUUCUUUAUUGCACACUACAUAAAAAACAGACACAGAAAUUGAUAAAAUAUACACAUAGGUAGGUAACAACAGGCGAUACUAGAUACUACUACUACUACUUUACUACUUUAUGAUACUAGAUUGAAAAUCUUGAGUGUUUUCCCCCUAAAUCGGCAAUGUUUUUGAUUUCGAUUAAAUUGCUCAUGAUACUUAAACGUUUAUUUUAAAUAAUUCAUUAAUUAGAUAUAAUUAGAUAGUACCAAUAUAGGCAGAACCAGACUAAUGGUUAUCGUAAAAACGUAUUCGAUUUAUGACAUUCUUAUAUCAUUUUAGACCGUUGGAAGUUAAGUGUUCCCAGUUCCCCCACUUUCCUACCCUGGCAGAGAGGGCGGUAUCUUAUAUGGGAUAUAACUUAUGUGAGUACAUUUAGUGCGUCCCAUACUCUGCUCUGCCGGCUUAGCACAGGAGCGCUGCGAUAGUAUCUCGCCUACUGGGAGCCACCUAUGACUAUGACUAUAUGCCCGUCAUCGUCGAGACAGCCGGGCCCUGGGGGCGAGAGGCACGGGAGCUCUUCCGAAAGCUAAGCAGGCGGCGUAGGGAAAAGGGCGAUGACCCCCGUUCUAGGCCAUGACUUGUCCAACAGGGUCUCCAUCACCAUACAGUGGGGCAACGCUGCCAGUAUGAUGGGGACCUUUGGACCCGGCAUGGCGCAGAACGAGUUUUAGGUUAGUCUUGUCGUAUCUUUACUAUAUUCUUAAAUAUAUAUACCUAUAGUAGCGGCUUACAUUAUUCAUCAUAAUGUUGUAAAGUUUACAAAAAUUAAUGAUAUAUGAAAAAAAUAUUAUGAAUAAAGUACAAAAUUCAUGUGUAGUUUAAUAAAAAUAAGACGUGCAGGCCCUGAGGACGGAAGGCGCGCGAGCUCUUUCGAGAGCUAGGCAGGCGACUUAUAUUAGGGAAGAAAGCAAUGACCCCUUUUGGGUCAUGGUUUGUCCAACAGGUUUCCAUCGCCAUACAGACCCCUGUAUGUAAGCGUUGCCCCAACGCUGCUAUUAGUGUGAUGGGGGCCAUUCCCGACCUUUGGACACGGUAUGGCGCAGAACGGGUUUUAGGUUAAUUAUUUUUGUCAUAUCUUUGUUAUAUCCUUAAAUAUAUAGGUCACACUGAGCAACUUUUACUAUGGGACCAACCCUGAAAUCGCGAAAAAAAAAGUACUCUCCCAUAGAAAAUGUCAAGGUCAGUCAGGCCAAUUUUUUUUGUGAUUUCGGGGUUGGUCCCAUACGAGUAGUAAAAGUUGCUCAGUAUGACCUAUAUAUUCAUCCCGUACAUUAUUGCAGGUGAUAUUGGUUUAUAUUAUUUAUUCAUUAUGUUGUAAAGUUUAUAAACAUUAAUAAUAAAUGAAAAGAGUACAAAAUGCAUGUAUACGAGUAUUUUCAUAAAAACAAACCUGGGGGCCCCGGGGACGGCAGCCGCGUAAGCUCUUCCGAGAGCUAGGUAUUAGGGGGCUUAGGGAAAAGGGCGAUGACCCCCGUUCAGGUACUUUUGGGUCAUAACUUGUCCAACAGGUCUCCAUCGCCAUACAGCGGGGAAUGCUGCUAGUCUGAUGGGGACCGUAGGCGGAUCCUACGGUCCCCAUCAUGCAUGGCGCAGAACGGGUUUUAGGUUAGUCUUAGAAAAGAUAAUUUUUGAAAUAGAGGUGUGUUGUCAAAGAAAACUUUGUAGCCAGUAACCACGUAAAUUUACUGCCAUAUUUCGACACACGAUUAACCCUUUUCCAGGCAUAGUACGAUUUAUCGACCACAUAAGCGCCAAUAAAAUUUCAACCUUAGCCAUUCGAUUUAAAGUUCAAAUUAGAUUGCACUUUCGGAAAAUGUGACGUGUCUUCAAAUGAAUCAUCAAAGCGGGAUUUAUUUGAAUAUAUUUGAUUUUUUUGGGAAAACCUUGUAGAAUGGUGCGGCCUGGAAAAGGGUUAAAACUUUUAGAAUACCAUUUGACUUUGAUCCUUGUUCUUUCAUUGAUAUGUAUUAAAUUUGUUAAAUAUCAAAAAGUGGCGCCGUUUGAGGCGCGUGUUUAACAAAUAUCAGUGAAAGAAUAAGGAUCAAAGUCAAAUGGCGUUCGAAAAUCCAACCAAACUAGACCCUACUCAUAGUGUUGUGUUCCUGCCGGUGAGUAAGGUUGCCAAAAAAAAGGUUUAAUCAUGUGUCGAAAGUUGACAGUAAGAGUAGACAGUUUACUGUGGCUACAAACAGACAACCCACCUCUUUCAAAUUCUCUUUGGUCUUAGCUUAGUUAUUUAUGUCAUAUCUCUGUUAUAUCCUUAAAUACAUAUAUAAAGAUGUCAUUAUUUAGAUUAGUCAUUAAUGUCAUUAUGCUGUAAAGUUUAUAAAAAUUACUAGAGGUGUAUUCGGGUAAUUCCGAAUUCCAAAAACCGUCGGAUAAUUCUGAAAAGGAAAUUAUGAUAUGAUAUUCAUAUUCAUCUCAUUUUCGGAAUAGUCCUACAUACGAAACUUAUUUUUUUAAAAGCUGAAUUCAUAUGUAUAAAAUUAGAAGAAUACUUAGUUACAAGUACACAUAUCACGUGUAAAAAGGUGACACCUAUACCCCACCCCAGCUGUACAAUCUGACUAUGCACGGGGGGUCACCUCUCUCUGCAGCUGAUUAUAUGUGUUUGGUACAUUAUUCUCUAUUAUUUUUGUAUAAGUUAGUUUUUAUUAUGUGGUUUAUAAUAGGUUUUGUAUACGUUUUACCUUCCAUUACGUGAUUUUUAUUUAUUACUCGUACUUAAUGUAUUCUUGUCUUGCGGUAAUUUUGUCGUUAUUUAGCUUAUCAAGUUAUCACUUUAUCUGUAUUCAUAUUGGAUAUUAAUGCCCUCUAUCGAUGAAACUAGGAAAUAUUAUGUAGUUUUGAAAUCAGCGCCCUCUACUUGUCAAUAGCUUUCUUGGUAAAUUUAUACCAUCUAAAGAGGAAAGGGGACGGCAGCUUCUCCAUACCAAUGAAGUCCCCAUUUUCCUCAGUGGAUUUCAGGUGGAUGCUUAUUGGUUACCCGCACCCGUUGUAAUUUUGUACGUAGUAGUGAUGUUUUCAAGCAAAAAAUACCUCUGUGUCGCUUACCAUAAUACGAAUAACUUGUCUCCGUCCUUCUGGCAAGAGAAAUGUGGUACCUUUUAUUUGAAAACGACACACGGAUUAAUUACUGUAGACAAGUGCUUGUGUAGUUUAAAUGUAUUUACUUAUAUUACCAAAUAAUAUCAACAUUUUAUUUGUAGUAAGAUUUAAAAUAUUUCAAGAUUUUCAAGCCGCAAAAUGUGAUAAACAUACUUAAUUAAUUUUCUACUGUAACCUGAAUGAUAACAACAAUAAAAAGUGAAGUCUCAA